UACGAAGGGGGCUAGCGUUGUUCGGAAUCACUGGGCGUAAAGGGCGCGUAGGCGGCCGAUCAAGUCGGGGGUGAAAGCCUGUGGCUUAACCACAGAAUGGCCUUCGAUACUGUUUGGCUUGAGACCGGAAGAGGUUAGUGGAACUGCGAGUGUAGAGGUGAAAUUCGUAGAUAUUCGCAAGAACACCAGUGGCGAAGGCGGCUGACUGGUCCGGUUCUGACGCUGAGGCGCGAAAGCCAGGGGAGCAAACGGG
rnacentral:rRNA from 1 species